rnacentral:sRNA from 1 species
CCACCCCUUUCCUGGGCAUGUGAUGAUCACUCUUAGAAAAAGCUAGAUUGUGAUCCAUAUAACAUAAUGAUUCAUCUAUGACAUGAUACUGGUAGUUCUGAAGCGUUUUUAAGUACUUGACAAGGACUCAAACUUUGAAGCAUCAUUAAUUCAGCGAUAUGUACAUGGUAUAUGUAUAAAUUUGAUAAAGACAGUGUUUCAAGAGUUUAAUUUUGUUUGUCACAAGUCACCAUCCUGCCCCCCCCCCCCCUUCAAAAAAAAGGAAAAAUUCCCUUUACAUUUUAGAUACAUUGCAAUGCCAAGUUGUUGAGUUUUUCCCAUUUGAUUUAGAGAAAUUCUGUUUAUUUUUAAUCUUUCAUAAGUUUUGAUAUGAAUGACUACGGUAUUUCUAUUUUAACAAAUGGUCUCACAUUGCCUUCUACUUCUGAUUUUCAGUAUCAAUGAGGUAUAACAUCUGUUGUGAUUGCUAACAGUUUUUGUACUGGUUUUCAAUAGUCUAAUGACAAAUCAGAAUUUUGCAGCCACUUAACUUUGAUCCUAAUGCUAUUCCUGUACUAUGAUUCAGACGUUGAUUCUAUUCGUGUGUGUUGUCAUGAGUUACCUUUAGUUAGUUUAAACAAACUGCAAAACACACAAAGAAAAUGUCUGAUUGUUUACAGAAAUAUCAAAACAAAUUCAAUGUUGCCUAGUAUUGGAAACGAUUUUGGGUUCAUUUUUCUUCAUCAUUUUAAGUUUGUCAUUAAUCAUUUAAAAGUAAAUCAAUGGAUAUCCUGAUGCACUCAAAUUUCUUAUGUUGGGGUCUGGGUUAUUUCUCUCCUUUUUUUCCCUGUAAGAUGAAUUUGUACAUAAUUAUAUUUUUUCAUUGUUUUGUAAAUUGUUAUGUAUUUUUUGUGUGGAGUUUCAUGAAUGCAAAAAUGAAAAAUUAAUGAGAAAUCUAAGCUGUGCUUAGCGGGGGAUGGGGGGGGGGGGGGGUGUGUAAUUAUUUAUUUUAAUGCCCUAAUGUGAUAAAGUGGUAUUGUAUUUCGUUGUGUGUAUUUUGUGAAACCGUCCGGUUCAUUCCUGCACAAGCUGAAGUUGAAUAUUGUGUAGUGCUAAAGGACCAAUAAACUUUUAUUGCUGGUUACAAAAUGAUUGUUACAAACAUUGUCUAAUAAAUUAUUUCUUAAAAGUG